UUCUGGGCCUUGCAGAAAUUCCUCUUGGUCUGUAGAGUUUAGGGCAGAGCUGUGCGUGCGUUUGCUCAGAUUACCACACGUGGGCACUUACGGCCGUCACGCAGCCACCUGGAACGUACCACGUGUAGAUUUCCCUCGAAGUCCCUGUCGUCUUGCCCACCCCCACAUAGUGAACACCGGAAGCCUAUUCAAGGCCUGAUUUAUUGAUUACAGCUUGCGCUCCAUACCUUUCAUUAUUCCAUCAGCCAAGAUAGAGGAAACUGAACCAGACAGCGAGGAGAAAGUAUUUUUUUUUUUAAGAAAGCAGAAAAGGAAUGCAAGCCAAGAUCCAAAAAAGUAUUCUGGACACGGACUGGUCAAGCUUGGCCUCAGCAAAGGGCCUUCACACAGAAAAAGAGGAACCAAUAAAAUGUUCAACAGUCAUAUGGAAUGGAAUGGGAAUGAAAAGGAUACUUAACCAUACAGCCCAUUUUCCCACAAGACAUUUGCUGAGUUUGGGGGUUGUACCAGAUGCUGAGGGAUUGGACCUGGUAGACAAAGUAAAAUCUCCUCCCAUUCUACCAGGACAUACAGAAUUCACUCCACUUAGAAGGUGCCUGCCUCAAAGACAGAGGCACUUUCACUCCUCGAGACAUUUCCAAUAUUUCUGCGAUAUAAGCAGAAGUAUGAAGAUCUAAAGUUUAACAUCUCUCAGAGACAGAACUGAAUCUCCUGAGCAAAGGAAACGAGAUCCUUCCAGGCUCUUAAUCAGAUGCCCUGAGGAAUUACAUGAGAAGACCAGAGAGAAGCCGGAAGUGGCCAGAGUCUCACUAAAACUGCCACCCAGUCCAACCCAACUCAUCCCUGAAUAGACUGAGGAAGAGCUGCUGAUCUUCCAGUUUUCAGAGGCAUGCCCAAAGCCACUGCGUGAGCCAGACCGGCACAGGUUCUCCCCCGCCCCACCGCCAGCACACCCGACCAGGCCAUCUUCAUCAUCACAGAUACAUCAGACAUGCCCCCGUGACCCAGGGACCUCCAGCGAGGCCACCUCCUGAGCACCGUAAUUGGAUUCCGUUUCCACGCUUCCAGCAUCGCAACCCAUGACCCUUGGGAUGAACUCAGGCGCCAAGCACUGUUGAAGUCAUAGCAGAUUCUCAUUUCAGCACUGCAUAUGACAGCGAAGAAAUGAAGCAUCAUAAAUGCUUACUGAUACAGAAUGGUGAAGUGUGCUAGCGGUAUGCAUACUAGAUUAGAUAUUAUGUAGUAGCUAAAAUAUGUUCUCAUAUGGGAAAAAUUAUUAU